rnacentral:rRNA from 1 species
GGGCCCGCACAAGCGGAGGAACAUGUGGUUUAAUUCGAUGAUACGCGAGGAACCUUACCCGGGAUUGAAAUGUAGAGGACGAUAUGUGAAAGCAUAUUUCCAGCAAUGGCCUCUAUGUAGGUGCUGCAUGGUUGUCGUCAGCUCGUGCCGUGAGGUGUCGGCUUAAGUGCCAUAACGAGCGCAACCCUGAUCGUUAGUUGCUAGCAGGUAAAGCUGAGGACUCUGACGAGACUGCCGGCGUAAGCUGUGAGGAAGGUUGGGAUGACGUCAAAUCAGCACGGCCCUUACAUCCGGGGCGACACACGUGUUACAAUGGUGGGACAAAGGGCAGCUACCGUGCGAGCGGAUGCCAAUCUCUAAACCCCAUCUCAGUUCGGAUCGGAGUCUGCAACUCGACUCCGUGAAGCUGGAUUCGCUAGUAAUCGCGCAUCAGCCAUGGCG